UGGUUACCAAUCACAUGACUUCGAUGUCAUCCACACUGUCUGACAACUUGGGCAAAUGUCUUCAUCUGUAGCCUCAGGUCGACCAAAGCCUUGUGAGCGGAUUUGUGGAUUUCGUAGACGUGAUAUGGCUGUGAUGUCAGUGCUUCAUGUCCGGCGAUAAUAAGCAUCAGCGAGUACCCACAUGCGGAGUUCUGGUCGCUACUUUCAUUAUCAUACAGAACAAGACACGAAAUUUUUGGGGAGGGUGCCAGUCGAUUAGAUCGACUCCAGUACGCAACUGGUACUUUAUUCAUCGACCCCGAAAUGAUGAAAGGGAAAGUCGACCUCGGCGGGAUUUGAAAUCAGUACGUAAAAACAGACGAAAUGCUGCUAAGAAUUUCGCCCGGUGUGCUAACGUUUCUACCAGCUCACAGUGUUACAGGUUCAAUACAUAAAGACACCGUGACAUAUACUCGGAAUCAGAAAGUCAUGUCAUUGCCGGUACAAUCACUGAACAGCAUCAAUCAGAAUGAUGUCAAGAAAGUGUUAUUAUACGGUGAGAACGUGAGCAGAGAAAGAAAAUGGUGAGAAUUGAUGUCAAGGAAAGUAAUCUUGUCUGAUCGAUAAUCCAAGUCUUGACAAAAGAAAGGACCUACAGCGAGGCUAAGGCUUAAAGGGAGAAAGCAGAAUGAUGAUAAACCAACAUUAGGUAACAUUUCAGGAGGUGAGCUGGCAGAAUCGUUAGCGUG